UACGUAGGUGGCAAGCGUUGUCCGGAAUUAUUGGGCGUAAAGCGCGCGCAGGUGGUUUCUUAAGUCUGAUGUGAAAGCCCACGGCUCAACCGUGGAGGGUCAUUGGAAACUGGGGAACUUGAGUGCAGGAGAGAAGAGUGGAAUUCCACGUGUAGCGGUGAAAUGCGUAGAGAUGUGGAGGAACACCAGUGGCGAAGGCGACUCUUUGGCCUGUAACUGACACUGAGGCGCGAAAGCGUGGGGAGCAAACAGGAUUAGAAACCCCGAGUAGUCCCUGAA
rnacentral:rRNA from 1 species